CCUACGGGUGGCAGCAGUGAGGAAUAUUGGUCAAUGGGCGGGAGCCUGAACCAGCCAAGUCGCGUGAGGGAAGACGGUCCUAUGGAUUGUAAACCUCUUUAGGCGGGGAGCAAUGCCGGGCACGCGUGCCCGGCGGGAGAGUACCCGCAGACUAAGCAUCGGCUAACUCCGUGCCAGCAGCCGCGGUAAUACGGAGGAUGCGAGCGUUAUCCGGAUUUACUGGGUGUAAAGGGCGUGUAGCCGGGCUGACAAGUCAGAUGUGAAAUUCCGGGGCUCAACCCCGGACCUGCAUUUGAAACUGUUGGUCUGGAGUAUCGGAGAGGCAGGCGGAAUUCCUAGUGAAGCGGUGAAAUGCGUAGAUAUUAGGAGGAACACCAGUGGCGAAGGCGGCCUGCUGGACGACAACUGACGGUGAGGCGCGAAAGCGUGGGGAGCAAACAGGAUUAGAUACCCUAGUAGUC
rnacentral:rRNA from 1 species